rnacentral:rRNA from 1 species
UACAGAGGGUGCGAGCGUUGUCCGGAUUUAUUGGGCGUAAAGAGCUCGUAGGCGGCUUGUCGCGUCGUCUGUGAAAUCCCGCGGCUCAACUGCGGGCUGGCAGUCGAUACGGGCAGGCUGGAGUUCGGUAGGGGAGACUGGAAUUCCUGGUGUAGCGGUGAAAUGCGCAGAUAUCAGGAGGAACACCGGUGGCGAAGGCGGGUCUCUGGGCCGAUACUGACGCUGAGGAGCGAAAGCGUGGGGAGCGAACAGG